UUAGGGGCUUGAUCAAAAGCCCAGUGAAGUCAAUGGCAGUCUUUCCACUUACUUCAAUGGGCUUAGGAUCAGGCCCUAAUUAA
rnacentral:pre_miRNA from 1 species